UACGAAGGGGGCUAGCGUUGUUCGGAAUUACUGGGCGUAAAGCGCGCGCAGGCGGUCUUCCAAGUCAGUGGUGAAAGCCCGGAGCUCAACUCCGGAACUGCCAUUGAAACUGUUAGACUUGAGGACGAGAGAGGUGAGUGGAAUUCCCAGUGUAGAGGUGAAAUUCGUAGAUAUCGGGAGGAAUACCAGUGGCGAAGGCGGCGACCUGGGCCAAUACUGACGCUGAGGUGCGAAAGCGUGGGGAGCAAACAGG
rnacentral:rRNA from 1 species